rnacentral:rRNA from 1 species
CGGACCGGCGCACGGGUGAGUAACGCGUAUGCAACCUGCCCGUUUCAGCGGGAUAACCCGGAGAAAUCCGGCCUAAUACCGCAUGUGGCCGAGGGGAGGCAUCUUCUUUCGGCCAAAGGAGGCGACUCCGGAGACGGAUGGGCAUGCGUGACAUUAGCUAGUUGGCGGGGUAACGGCCCACCAAGGCGACGAUGUCUAGGGGUUCUGAGAGGAAGGUCCCCCACACUGGUACUGAGACACGGACCAGACUCCUACGGAAGGCAGCAG